AUGGAUAAAUGGAAGCUGUGGUUUGUCCUUCUCCCCCUGUGUUUGUGUAUUAACACUGAAGAGGCUAUUGUGAAAACCAUCGGGAGUGGACCAGAUGUUACUUCAAUAUGCGCCGCCGCCACACUGCACAUCAUCACACUUAUAGUAUGUAAGAUCAGAACAGAGACGAGCGGGGGAGAGGGGUGUCGACUGCUGUAUCAACACGGACAAGACUUUGUGCACGAGUGUGACUCCAGGUUCACACUUAGGACUAAUAAUCAGACUAUGUUCCUCCACCUGACCAAUUUGACAACAGAGGAUAGUGGGAACUAUACCUGUGAGUGUUCACAUUUUCGUGGAACGGAUACUCUGCAUCUCAUCCUCACCGUGAAAGGAGAGAAAGAGGCCAGCAAUUCUCUGAAAAUGCUCAUUUAUACCGCUUUGAUUAGUAGUGGUACUGCUGUUGUCAUCAUAACUGGAGUCGUCCUUGGGUUUAUCCUGAGAAAACAGAGUUACAGAGACAAGACAAGGUCAGGACCAUCUGUAUUAUCUGUAAGCGAAUCCACCUGCUCUCUGGACAAAGAUGACCCAGAUAACACCUACACAAGCCUUCAACAGCCAGCAAGUGAUUUGUACCAGACUAUGUCCUCAGUGCCCCAUCAACACAGCAUCGUAAUAAAUUCAGAGACUGAUCCAAUUGGCGAAAUCUAUGAAAUUAUGGAAACCAAACGUCAAUAA
rnacentral:lncRNA from 15 species